rnacentral:rRNA from 1 species
UACGGAGGGAGCAAGCGUUACUCGGAAUCAUUGGGCGUAAAGGGCGCGUAGGCGAUUCGGUAAGUCUCAUGUGAAAGCCCACAGCCUAACUGUGGAAGUGCAUGAGAUACUGUCGAAUUUGAGUUCAGGAGAGGAAGGCAGAAUUCCCGGUGUAGCGGUGAAAUGCGUAGAUAUCGGGAGGAAUACCAGUGGCGAAGGCGGCCCUACUGGGCCGGACCUGACGCUGACGACGCG